AGUGAACGCUGGCGGUAGGCCUAACGCAUGCAAGUCGAACGGCAGCACAGUAAGAUCUUGCUCUUACGGGUGGCGAGUGGCGGACGGGUGAGGAAUACAUCGUAAUCUACUUUUUCGUGGGGGAUAACGUAGGUAAACUUACGCUAAUACCGCAUACGACCUACGGUUGAAAGCAGGGGAUCUUCUGACCUUGCGCGAUUGAAUUAGCCGAUGUCGGAUUAGCUAGUUGGCGGGGUAAAGGCCCACCAAGGCGACGAUCCGUAGCUGGUCUGAGAGGAUGGUCAGCCACACUGGAACUGAGACACGCUCCAGACUCCUAAGGGAGGCAGCAGUGGGGAAUAUUGGACAAUGGGCGGAAGCCUGAUCCAGCCAUACCGAGUGGGUGAAGAAGGCCUUCGGGUUGUAAAGACGUUUUGUUGGGAAAGAAACGCAGCAGGUUAAUACGAAGCUGUUGUGACGGUAACCAAAGAAUAAGCACCGGCUAACUUCGUG
rnacentral:rRNA from 1 species